AGAGUUUGAUCAUGGCUCAGGAUGAACGCUAGCGGCAGGCCUAAUACAUGCAAGUCGAACGGUAACAUUGGUGCUUGCACCAGAUGACGAGUGGCGCACGGGUGCGUAACGCGUAUGCAAUCUACCUUUUACUAGAGUAUAGCCCAGAGAAAUUUGGAUUAAUCCUCUAUAAUAUCUUUUAAUUUCAUGAUUUUAAGAUUAAAGUUUUAACGGUAAAAGAUGAGCAUGCGUCCUAUUAGUUUGUAGGUGAGGUAACGGCUCACCUAGACUACGAUAGGUAGGGGCCCUGAGAGGGGGAUUCCCCACACUGGUACUGAGACACGGACCAGACUCCUACGGGAGGCAGCAGUAAGGAAUAUUGGACAAUGGACGAAAGUCUGAUCCAGCCAUGCCGCCUGCAGGAUGAAAGCCCUACGGGUUGUAAACUGCUUUUAUACAGGAAGAAACACUCCGACGUGUCGGAGCUUGACGGGUACUGUAAGAAUAAG
rnacentral:rRNA from 1 species